UACGUAGGGUGCAAGCGUUAAUCGGAAUUACUGGGCGUAAAGCGUGCGCAGGCGGUUUUGUAAGUCUGUCGGGAAAUCCCCGGGCUUAACCUGGGAAUGGCGAUGGAGACUGCAAGGCUAGAGUUUGGCAGAGGGGGGUAGAAUUCCACGUGUAGCAGUGAAAUGCGUAGAGAUGUGGAGGAACACCGAUGGCGAAGGCAGCCCCCUGGGUCAAAACUGACGCUCAUGCACGAAAGCGUGGGGAGCAAACAGG
rnacentral:rRNA from 1 species